rnacentral:rRNA from 1 species
AUUGAACGCUGGCGGCAGGCCUAACACAUGCAAGUCGAACGAGUGGCGGACGGGUGAGUAAUGUCUGGGAAACUGCCUGAUGGAGGGGGAUAACUACUGGAAACGGUAGCUAAUACCGCAUACCAUCAGAUGUGCCCCGAUGGGAUUAGCUUGUUGGUGGGGUAACGGCUCACCAAGGCAACGAUCCCUAGCUGGUCUGAGAGGAUGAUCAGCCACACUGGAACUGAGACACGGUCCAGACUCCUACGGGAGGCAGCAGUGGGGAAUAUUGCACAAUGGGGGAAACCCUGAUACAGCCAUGCCGCGUGUAUGAAGAAGGCCUUCGGGUUGUAAAGUACUUUCAGUUGUGAGGCGUUAGCAACAGAAGAAGCACCGGCUAACUCCGUGCCAGCAGCCGCGGUAAUUC